rfam:Ktedonobacter racemifer DSM 44963 strain SOSP1-21 Krac_Contig206, whole genome shotgun sequence.
GUCAGCGACCCCACCGGGAAACCGGGGGGCUUGUGGGAGACUUCCCUGAGUGGUCUUGGCUGCAAGCCCCGAUGCUGACCAGCCCCCGGUGUGCUUGCACACCGGAGCCGUUCAGAAGGAGCGCGAAAAAGCAGACCCUGGAGUGGCUUUUCCAGCUCCCGGCUCUUUAAUUGCUCAGUUAAACAGGUUGAUGGGGUGUCCAAAGCCAGUGCUGAGCAAAGAUCGCCGCUUCUGACACCCGGGCGAGGAAAACAUUAC